GACGUAGGAUGCGAGCGUUGUUCGGAAUUACUGGGCGUAAAGCGUGCGUAGGCGGUUUGGUAAGUCAGUGUUGAAAGCCCGAGGCUCAACCUCGGAGACGGCACUGAGACUGCCAGGCUUGGAGGACGGCAGAGGAAGGUGGAAUUCCCAGUGUAGCGGUGAAAUGCGUAGAUAUUGGGAGGAACACCAGUGACGAAAGCGACCUUCUGGGCUAGUCCUGACGCUGAGGCACGAAAGCGUGGGGAGCAAACGGG
rnacentral:rRNA from 1 species